rnacentral:rRNA from 1 species
UACGGAUGGGGCGAGCGCUACUCGGAUUCACUGGGCGUAAAGCGAGUGUAGGCGGCUUUGUAAGUCAGUGGUGAAAGCCCCCGGCUCAACCGGGGAACUGCCAUUGAUACUGCAGAGCUAGAGGGCAGGAGAGGAAAGUGGAAUUCCCGGUGUAGCGGUGGAAUGCGUAGAUAUCGGGAGGAACACCAGAGGCGAAGGCGGCUUUCUGGACUGUACCUGACGCUGAGAUUCGAAAGCUAGGGGAGCAAACAGG